rnacentral:rRNA from 1 species
AUUGAACGCUGGCGGCAUGCCUUACACAUGCAAGUCGAACGGCAGCGCGGGAGCAAUCCUGGCGGCGAGUGGCGAACGGGUGAGUAAUGCAUCGGAACGUGCCCGGUAGUGGGGGAUAACUGCUCGAAAGAGCAGCUAAUACCGCAUACGACCUGAGGGUGAAAGGGGGGGAUCGCAAGACCUCUCGCUAUCGGAGCGGCCGAUGUCGGGUUAGCUAGUUGGUGGGGUAAAGGCCCACCAAGGCAACGAUCCGGAGCUGGUUGGAGAGGACGACGAGCCAAACUGGGACUGCGACACGGCCCAAAGUCCUACGGGGGGCAGCAGUGGGGAAUUUUGGACAAUGGGCGCAAGUCUGAUCCAGCCAUGCCGCGUGCGGGAAGAAGGCCUUCGGGUUGUAAACCGCUUUUGUCAGGGAAGAAAUCUUCUGGGCUAAUACCCUGGGAGGAUGACGGUACCUGAAGAAUAAGCACCGGCUAACUACGUGCCAGCCGCCGCGGUAACAC